CAAGCCGAAACCCGACACUCAGCCAAACUCAAUCUCUGUGGGCUCAUCCAAUCUCCCCUCCAUCUGCUCCGCUCUCCAUCGACCUUUCCUGAUUAAGCUGCUGUUUCCUGAGAAUCUUCGCCGAUCCAAAAACUAUCUCUCUGUCAAAACUUUUCAAUAAACUAUCUAAACCGC